GCCUGUGGAGACUGGAUUGUGGGAGGAGGUAGAUCUGGCCUCGGAAGUGGCCUUAGAGGUGGUGCGGACAGCAGAGCCUGGCGUGUGGUUGGAGGCUCAGGCCCCGGUGGCCCUGGUGGCUCAGCCUGAGCCCCUGCCGGCCACAGCUGGUGUGAAGAGGGAGAGCGUGGGCAUGGAGGUGGCAGUGCUGACUGAUGACCCGCUGCCCGUUGUGGACCAGCAGCAGGUGCUGGCCCGUCUGCAGCUGUUGGAGCAGCAGGUUGUGGGUGGAGAGCAGGCCAAGAACAAGGACCUGAAGGAGAAGCACAAGCGGCGCAAGCGCUACGCAGACGAGCGCAGGAAGCAGCUGGUGGCUGCCCUGCAGAACUCGGAUGAGGACAGCGGGGACUGGGUGCUGCUUAACGUCUACGACUCCAUCCAGGAGGAAGUGCGGGCCAAGAGCAAGCUGCUGGAGAAGAUGCAGAGGAAGCUUCGGGCAGCAGAGGUGGAGAUCAAAGAUCUGCAGUCCGAGUUUCAGCUGGAGAAGAUCGAUUACUUGGCCACCAUCCGCCGGCAGGAGCGUGACUCCAUGCUCUUGCAGCAGCUCCUGGAGCAGGUGCAGCCCCUGAUUCGCAGGGACUGUAACUACAGCAACCUGGAGAAGAUUCUGCGUGAGUCCUGCUGGGACGAAGAUAACGGCUUCUGGAAGAUCCCACAUCCCGUCAUCACAAAAACCAGCCUCCCAGUAGGUCAGGAGCUUGGCUGGCCCUUGCCCUCCCCUCCCUCCUUCACGGCUUACCAUCCUGCAGACUGGCAGGGAGUGUGGGCCUCUCCUUGCAGGCUGUGGGUGUAGAAGACACGUGACCCUGGGUACCUGAUGCGUCAGGACUCUGAGAAAGUGGUGUGUUCUGGAGGCAGACAGAUGUGGGUUGGAAUUCUGGCAGCACCGUUCCCUGUGUGCCCUUUUUGGGACUCGGUGUCUUCAUCUGUGAAAUGGGGAUGAAUAACAGCACCUUUC
rnacentral:lncRNA from 1 species